GUUUUAGUAGUUUAAAAUUAAAAACAUUGGUCUUGUAAGCCAAAAAUAUUAGUAGUAACUUUUUAAAACU
rnacentral:tRNA from 1 species